UCGACCUGAGCUCAGGCAAGACUACCCGCUGAACUUAAGCAUAUCAAUAAGCGGAGGAAAAGAAACUAACUAGGAUGCCCUUAGUAACGGCGAGCGAACCGGGCAGAGCCCAACUUGAAAAUCUCCAGCCUUCGGCUGGCGAAUUGUAGUCUAGAGAAGUGCUCUCUGCCUCAGUCCGGCCCCAAGUCCCCUGGAAAGGGGCGUCAGAGAGGGUGAGAACCCCGUUGGGACCGGAGCCUGGGGCUCCACGAGACGCUUUCGUAGAGUCGGGUUGUUUGGGAAUGCAGCCCAAAGCAGGUGGUAAAUCCCAUCUAAGGCUAAAUACAGACGGGAGACCGAUAGCGAACAAGUACCGCGAGGGAAAGAUGAAAAGAACUUUGAAAAGAGAGUUAAAAAGUGCUUGAAAUUGUUGAGAGGGAAGUGAUUGGAUCCUACGGGUGCGCCCAGGCACACGCCUGCCUAACGGUUGGCUGAAUGCGCUGGGUGCUGGUCAGCAUGGGUUGACCGGGCGGGACAAACCCGGGGGUUGUUACCCCGGCUAUGUCGCCUGGUCGACCGAGGAAAGAAGGGCGCUCUCUGAGUCCUCCGGGAACUGCGUCCUCAAGAUGCUGGCGGAAAGGUCCAUCAGCCCCGUUGAAAACGCC
rnacentral:rRNA from 1 species